GUCCAGGCAAGAAUACUGGAGUGGGUAGCCAUUUCCUUCUCCAGUGGAUCUCCCUGACCCAGGGAUCGAACCUAGGUCUCCUGCAUUGCAGGUAGAUUCUUUAGCACUGAUCAACCAGGGAAGCCCUGUGUACUUCUUACCCAGACUGUUUUCUUCCGCAGCCUGUCUUUGCACCAGUGAAGCAUCGUCUAGUUUCUGCUGCUUCACAGCACACUUGAAUACUCUCCUGUUGCAGAUUUGCAAGAUCAGCUUCAUUAGAGAAUUUUUCCCCUGAACCUAGUUCCUGGGAUUUAAUAUCCUUAACAAAAUGAGUUUUUGUUGAGUGAUUCUCAUUUCCAUAUUAAUAAAUUUGUGUUCCACAAAGGCAGAACUAAGAAUUUGACCCCUUCUUAAAGAGUGUAGGUGCUAGAUAGAGAAUGAGAGAUCCCAUUUCUCCAGUAGAGUUUGGGUUCUCAGGGUUAUCAGAGAGUUUCUGAGUAGGUUUCCACUGAACCACAGAGAUUACAGUUGAAGAAAGAAAGAAACCCCUUAACUAUGAUGCAAUCUCUCCCCUUCUCCCUCCACUUCCUGUCUUUAUGGAUCUGCCAGUCUGGACGUGUCCUGUGAGUGGAGUCUAACCACUCAUCCUUCUGUGACUGGCUUCUCACUGAGCAUCAUGCUCCCCGGGUUCAUCCACGCUGUGUCAUGGGUCGGGGCUUUAUUCCUUCUUAUGCCUGAAUUGUACUCUAUCCUGAGGAGGGACCACAUUUUGUUUAUCUAUUCAUCUGUUGAUGAACAUCUGGCUAUUUCCACCUGUUGACUAUCAUUAAUAGUCAAUAAUGCUGCUAUAAACUUUUCUGUACACGUUUUUGUGUGGAUAUAUGCUGUCUUUUCCCUCGGGCACAUACCCAGAGACAGAACUGAGGUUGUCUGGUAACUUUAUGUUCAACUUUUUAUGGACCUGCUAGACUGGCUGCAUCACGCACCUUCCCACCUGGGUGUGACACUCAGACUCUGCCACUCCUCGCCCACACCUGUCAUUAUCCCUCUGAUUUGGGCCAUCACAAUGGGUGUGAAGUGGCUCCCCUGGUGGUUUUGAUUUGCAUUCUCCUAAAGAAAGAGGAUGUUGGGUUUCUUUGCACGCAAGGCUGUGUUUCAACACACAUCCAGCAGCCAGAUGUCCCUGUGUAGUCACUCGGCCAAGACCCCUGGGGUGCUGGGGCACCCAUACAGACACAGCCCUGCCUGCAGAGAGGUGCAGAUGUGUAAAUAAAGCAGUUACUUGCCAAGCACAGGGUCCUGGGCCAUCACCCAUGAAGAGCUCCCCGAGCCACGAUCCAGACAGGCCUGCAGGGCACAGAGGGAGAGAAGGCGGCAGUGACGCCUUCCUUCCAGAUCCUCAAAAAAUCAGAGCAGAAACUCAAGUGUUGGCCAUUCUGCGUUGGUCACAGGACAGGACUAGUCUUUCUUUCUUCUUCUUUUUUUUUUGGCCACCUUAGGAGGCUUGUGGGAUCUUAGUUCCUUGACCAGUGAUUGAACCUGGGCCCUUGGCAGUGAGAGCUUGGAGUCCUAAUGACUGGACUACCAGGGAAUUCCCAGAACAAAACUAUUCUUAAUCUAAGUUGGGGGCAGAAAUGGCAGAGGUUCAGGGAGAGGAGAGUCUCCUGGGUGGAAGAUCACAAGGCCCAGGACCUCAGUGCGAACGUGGGCUGCGGCCAGACUCCAUCCCCGCCCCCGCACCCCCCACCCCGCCUCCAGGAUCCCCCAGUGGACAGGUGACAACACUGCUUGGUGGAAGGGUGAGUGCCAGGGGCUGGGGAGCUGGGGAGGUGUUGUCCCCUGCGCAGAGCCUGGGUUUGGGGCGAGGAGAAAGCUCAGGGAGUGGAUGGCGGCCUUGGUCACACAGCAACGCGGUGGUACCUGAUGCCACUGCACCGUGCCUUAGAAACGUGUAAAACAGCGAUUUCUAUGCUGUGCAUUCUCUGCCAGGAUGAUCAUUAAAAGGUCGUGCUCACUCUGGGCUCUGAAGCAAUGAAAAUAAAACAGUGGCGCUGGGAUAGGCCUGUCCGCCGAGGUCCCGCCCCGCCCAGGCCGCCACCCGCGCGCCGCUCGGGUCUUGCUCCGCGCGUCCCCGGCCAUCGCCGCCGGGAGCCCAGGGCGGCGGAGCGGACCCCGCGGAGCGGCCGGCUGGGGACCAGCCGGCCUGCCUGCAGCCCAGGCCCGCCGGCCGCAGACAUGGACGCACGGAGCCCCGAAGCACCCGGCGGACGCGCGCUGCGGGACGUGGCAGAAAAUCUAUUUCAGGAGCUUCAAGAACAUUUUCAAGCUCUGACGGCAACAUUAAACCUCAGAAUGGAAGAAAUGGGGGGUCGCAUUGAAGACUUGCAGAAGAACGUGAAUGACUUGAUGGCCCAAGCUGGGAUUGACAGUCCUGCUCAGAAACACAGACUUGAAGACAGAACAGUCUUUUGAAAAUAUGAAAAAGUGAAAACUGUACUUUUUGAGUAAUAACUAUAUAACACAAGUUCUUGUUUUUGGUAUUUAAGAAUUCAUUUUAGUAAAAUAAAAGAUUAAAAGAACAAAGGCAGGGCAAUAAGAACGUAAUUAGACAAGAGAUCGACCACUUAACAAAGAUGGUUGUAAAAUGACAGGACACUUUUCAAUACACACCUAACAUUUGUGGAUCAUGGGGGAAAAGAAUAAGAUAUAACAGGUCAAUUUCCCCCCAGAAUUAAGCUCUAUAUAGAACUUUUUUAAGACUAUCAUAAGCAGUUUUCUAUAGAAGUUGCUUCUUCAACAUCUGCAUUGCAGUUCAAUAAUUCCAGUCACAUGAUUCUGGGGAAGACUCACGUUCACAUGUCCAGUCCAAGCAGACCCUGACGGUAUGUUGUCCAAACCAAAGGAAAACCAGAGAAGCAGUUGAUGCAGGAGCUCUGGACUGCUUCCUAGGACACCCUUACCUGCCCCACCCCUGAGUAGAGGUCGUGACCAAGGAGGUGCACAAAGAUUGCACCCAUCUUUAUCUUGUCAGUUAGAGAUUCUUUCAAAUAAUUGUCAAUUCACCUAUCUCUGAGCCAAGUAAAAAAAAAAGAAAAAAGCUAUGAUCACCUAAAACAGGGUCCAUUGUAGGCUCUCAUUAUAAAAAAAUAACAUUAUCCCUGCAUAUAAAAGAAAUCAUACUCUUUAUACGACUAAGCGACUUCACUUUGACUUUUCACUUUCAUGCAUUGGAGAAGGAAAAGGCAACCCACUCCAGUGUUCUUGCCUGGAGAAUCCCAGGGAUGGGGGAGCCUGGUGGGCUGCCGUCUAUGGGGUUGCACAGAGUCGGACACAACUGAAGUGACUUAGCAGCAGCAGCAGCAGCAUAUAAAAGUCAAAAGCACUCCUACAAUUCAGAAUUACACACUAUCAAUACUUUUUUCUAUGCAAGAAAUUUUAUAUAGUUCAUCAUAUUCCUUGUAAUUUAAUAUCCUAUUCUCAUAUCAUAAACACUUUUCCCCUUGUGAAAGUUUCAUAUACACUUUUGUAUGGUUACUAAUACUCUAUCAUGUGGCAGAAAAAAUUUAAUCAUCCCCUUAACCAUUCCUUGGGGUUGAGGUUAUUUCUUACUUUCUGGCUAGUAUAAAUGAGUUUCUUUAAUGAGCACUGGCUAUCCUUGAAUUCUCUGCACAUUUCUCUAGGGCCAGAAGUAUGACCACAGGCCAAGCACACUGAGCAGAAUGCAUGUCAUUUUAUAGCCUCAACAGUAAUGCAAACCCAAAGUUUAAACCCAAAGUUUUUAAAUUGCAUUAUUUAAAUUCAGUAUUCUUGGUGGCUUAAAAUCAUAUUUCCAUUUGAUUAUAUGAAAAUUUCAAAGCAUCUUAGCUGUAAUUUUAAUUUUAGCA